rnacentral:rRNA from 1 species
GAUGAACGCUGGCUACAGGCUUAACACAUGCAAGUCGAGGGGAAACGACAUCGAAAUCUUGCUUUUGUUGGGCGUCGACCGGCGCACGGGUGAGUAACGCCUAUCCAAUCUGCUCAUCACUUCGGGAUAACCCUGCGAAAGUAAGCCUAAUACACAUUGUUAUCCCUAGAAGACAUCUGAAAGAGAUUAAAGUUUUAUCGGUGAUGGAUGGGUAUGCGGUUGAUUAUCUUGUUGGCGAGGUAACGGCCUGCCAAGGCAACGAUCAGUAGGGGUUAUGAGGGUAGGGGCCCCGAGAUUGGAACUGAGACACGGGCGAAACAGCUACGGGAGGCAGCAGUAAGGGAUGUUGGUGAAGGGACGAUAGCCUGAACCAGCCAAGUAGGGUGCAGGAAGGCGGCGCUAUGGAUGAUAAACUGCUUUUAGAAGACAGUUAAGGGAGGGUCGGGACUCUUAUUGAAUGUACCUGAUAAAUAAGCACCGGCUAAUUACGUG